ACGUGCUGACGAGCGGCGAACGGGUGCGUAAUACAUGGGAAUCUGCCCUUUAGUGGGGAAUAACCCGGCGAAAGCCGGGCUAAUGCCGCAUAAGAUCUUCGGAUGAAAGCGGGGGAUCGUAAGACCUCGCGCUGAUGGAUGAGCCCAGUCGGCAUUAGCUAGUUGGUGAGGUAACGGCUCACCAAGGCGACGAUCCGUAGCUGGUCUGAGAGGACGGCCAGCCACACUGGGACUGAGACACGGCCCAGACUCCUACGGGAGGCAGCAGUGGGGAAUAUUGGACAAUGGGGGAAACCCUGAUCCAGCGACGCCGCGUGUGUGAAGAAGGCCUGCGGGUUGUAAAGCACUUUCGGUGGGAACGAAAUAUGCCGGGCUAAUACCCCGGUAGGCUGACGUUACUCAAUGAAGAAGCACCGGCUAACUCUGUGCCAGCAGCCGCGGUAAUACAGAGGGUGCGAGCGUUAAUCGGAAUUACUGGGCGUAAAGCGCACGUAGGUGGCGACGCAAGUCGGGUGUG
rnacentral:rRNA from 1 species